rnacentral:rRNA from 1 species
AGACAGAGGUGGCUAGCGUUGUUCGGUGUCACUGGGCUUAAAGGGUGUGUAGGCGGAAUGGUAAGCGUCUUGUGAAAUCCCUCGGCUUAACCGAGGAAUCGCUAGGCGAACUGCCAUUCUUGAGGUAUGCAGGGGUUAGUGGAACUCUUGGUGUAGCGGUGGAAUGCGUAGAUAUCAAGAGGAACGCCGGUGGUGCAGACGGCUAACUGGGCAUAUUCUGACGCUGAGACACGAAAGCGUGGGGAUCAAACGGGAUUAGAUACCCCGGUAGUCCACGCCGUAAACGAUGUCUACUAGGUUGUAGAGGUUCUGACGCCGCUACGGCCGAAGCAAAAGUGUUAAGUAGACCGCCUGGGGAGUACGGUCGCAAGGCUAAA